GACCGAUAGUGAACUAGUACCGUGAGGGAAAGGUGAAAAGUACCCCUUUGAGGGGAGUGAAAUAGUACCUGAAACCGUGUGCCUACAAGGAGUGGGAGCCUCUUCGGAGGUGACCGCGUGCCUUUUGCUUAAUGAGUCUACGAGUUAGUGUCUGUGGCAAGCUUAAGCGCUUUUGGUGCGUAGGCGUAGCGAAAGCGAGUCCGAAUAGGGCGACCAUAGUCGCAGGCGCUAGACCCGAAACGGAGGUGACCUACCCAUGGCCAGGUUGAAGCAACGGUAAAACGUUGUGGAGGACCGAACCGGUACAGGUUGAAAACUGUUCGGAUGAGCUGUGGGUCGGAGUGAAAGGCUAAUCAAACCCCGUGAUAGCUGGUUCUCCUCGAAAUGCAUUUAGGUGCAGCGUCGCGUGCUUACCCUCGGGGGUAGAGCACUGAAUGAGCUAGGGCCCAUACCAGGGUACCAAACUCAACUAAACUCCGAAUACCGGGGGGUGGAACGCGGCAGUGAGACUGCGGGGGAUAAGCUUCGUAGUCGAAAGGGAAACAGCCCAGAUCAGCAGCUAAGGUGCCUAAAUAGUGCUCAGUGGAAAGGAGGUGGGAUUUCAUAGACAGUGAGGAUGUUGGCUUAGAAGCAGCCACCAUUUAAACAAAGCGUAACAGCUGACUCAUCGAGAGAUCCUGCGCCGAAAAUGAUUGGCGAUAAGCACUAUACCGAAGCUCUGGAUGCACAGUUUACUGUGCGUGGUAGAGGAGCGUUCUCAACACCUUGAAGCCUUAAGGCGACUGAUGGUGGAGCGUUGAGAAGUGAGUAUGUAGACAUGAGUAACGAUAAGCCGGGUUAAAUCCCCGGCCGCCGUAAACCCGAGGUUUCCUGGGCCAUGCUGGUCAUCCCAGGGUUAGUCGGGACCUAAGCCGAGGCCGAUGGGCGUAGGCGAUGGAAACACGGUUAAUAUUCCGUGACGGCCUAUAAUUUAAACUAGAAGGACGCAUGAGUGGAGAAACGACAGUGACUGAUAGUGCUGAACGAGGGAUUCGUCCCGGAUACUGUUUCGAAACGAGUGCCAAGAAAAGUUCUAGUGUAUAGAAUUAGGCCCCCGUACCGUAAACCGACACAGGUGGGUAGGUAGAAUAUACUAAGGCGCAAGAGUGAAACCCUGUUAAGGAACUCGGCAAAUUAGCCCCGUAACUUCGGGAGAAGGGGUCCCGGGACUUGUCCCGGGCGCAGUGAAAGGGCCCAUCCGACUGUUUAGCAAAAACACAGCAUUCUGCGAACACGCAAGUGGAAGUAUAGGAUGUGACACGUGACCAAUGCCAAAAGAUUAAGGGGAGGUGUUAGCCUUCGGGCGAAGCUCUGAUCCUAAGUCCUGGUGAAUGUCGGCCGUAACUAUAACGGUCCUAAGGUAGCGAAAUUCCUUGUCGGGUAAGUUCCGACCUGCACGAAUCGUGCAACGAGAUGGGCGCUGUCUCAACAGGGAGCUCAGUGAAAUUGUAUCCGCGGUGAAGAUGCCGCGUACCCGCAGAAGGACGGAAAGACCCUAUAGACCUUAACUGUACGCUGUCACUGUUUUCUCGAUUUUAAUGCUCAGCAUAAGUGGGAGGCUUUGAACCAUUCCUCUAGGGGAAUGGGGAGCCAUCAGUGAGAUACCACCCUUUAGCAUUGGGAAAUCUAACCUCUAGCCUUUAUCAGGCAGAGGAACCAUGGCAGCCGGUCAGUUUGACUGGGGCGGUCUCCUCCUAAAGAGUAACGGAGGAGCGCGAAGGUAGGCUCAGCGCGGUUGGCAAUCGCGUUUCGAGUGCAUUGGCAUAAGCCUGCCUAACUGCGAGACUUACAAGUCGAGCAGAGACGAAAGUCGGCCAAAGUGAUCCGGCGGUGGAAUAUGGAAUCGCCGUCGCUCAUCGGACAAAAGGUACCUUAGGGAUAACAGGCUGAUCGCGCCCAAGAGU
rnacentral:rRNA from 1 species